rnacentral:rRNA from 1 species
GACGAACGCUGGCGGCGUGCUUAACACAUGCAAGUCGAACGGAAAGGCCCUGCUUUUGUGGGGUGCUCGAGUGGCGAACGGGUGAGUAACACGUGAGUAACCUGCCCUUGACUUUGGGAUAACUUCAGGAAACUGGGGCUAAUACCGGAUAGGAGCUCCUGCUGCAUGGUGGGGGUUGGAACGUUUCGGCGGUUGGGGAUGGACACGCGGCUUAUCAGCUUGUUGGUGGGGUAGUGGCUUACCAAGGCUUUGACGGGUAGCCGGCCUGAGAGGGUGACCGGCCACAUUGGGACUGAGAUACGGCCCAGACUCCUACGGGAGGCAGCAGUGGGGAAUAUUGCACAAUGGGCGGAAGCCUGAUGCAGCAACGCCGCGGGCGGGAUGACGGCCUGCGAGUUGUAAACCGCUUUCGCCUGUGACGAAGCGUGAAUGACGGUAAUGGGUAAAGAAGCACCGGCUAACUACGUG